GGACAGGGAAAGAUCAGGUCCCAGCGAGCCUGUCGUCCCACACAGUGCACUCUCUGCGGAGGCUGACAGGAGUGGUGUGCAAUCGGGGUUCAACGGCACCAGCACUGAACAUCUGCCGACCUUUCCCCAGCUCCUGCAGGCAGCUUAUCAAGAACUCUGUGGCUGUUUACAGGUGUGUUUAUGAUGUCAGAGCUCGAGCUUGGCCAAGGGAACAGACCAGCCCGGCUGCGGAGAGACUAUCUGGCGAUUCUGUCCCCUAGAGAAGGCCGGGCGAGCCUUCCAGCAGCUGUGGGGUUUUGUCACCAGUCCUUUUGUUGAACAGAGAUGCCCAUUAUGUACACACUGGAGUCACCUGGGAGCUUUUUAAAAAUUCAGAUAUUCAGGCCCUUCCCCAAUCCAAUUACACAAGAGUCUCGGGUGGAGCCUGAGCCUCUGGGUUUUUAAAAGCUCGCAGGCUCAUUGCAAGGCUGAGACCGCCGUCACAGAAGGAUCUGCAGAACCCUUAGUGAGGACCCGGGGACUUCCCUGCACCCAUGAGCCAGCAAGACCGGCCAAGGCUGCCAGCCGGGCAGGGUGAUAAGCAGUUCCAGAGGCCAAGCGCAGACCACUGGUGGUCACUGGUAGCUGCUGAGAGGCCCCCCAGAGCCUAAAGCAGAGGUCACUGCAAGCCUGAUGCUUGCACAAGACGGUCCCAGGCGUGGAGAGGGAGAACACUGGCUGCCAGCUCACCCGAUCCUUCCCAGAACAUUUAUGAAGAACUUACUCUGUGGAGGAGCCCUGGAGAUGCAGAGAGAAGGGAGAAACUCUGUCUGGACACAUACACUCAUCAUGCCAAAAUCCACAUAGCAAGCACUGGGCUAGAGGUCUGGGCCAGAGCUAAGAAAAUCCCGAGCAGGGGAGGAGACCGGGCACACCCAGGCCAUCCUCUGAGGAGGACAGUGUGCAGGCUUCCUCUGUGCUCACGGACACACGGUCUGCAACCUCAGCACUGAGCGUUCCCUCCCAGACCGGGUUUCGGCUCGUCCAAGGAAGGCUGGGUUUUCGUUCGACCAUGCUUUCCUCUUUUUCUUGUUUUAAAACAAGACAGAUGUAGAAAAUCUGCCACAUGAAUAUAAACUCUACCAUUGAAGAUAUUCCUUACACCAUUGUUUAGUUCCCCCAAAGAAAUAGUGCACUUUUUAUGAGGAUGCAGAUGACAAAUUCCUAUGAAGAAAUGAGUGCACCAAAGUUUUUCUCUUUGGAAGAAGCGGCAUGCUUUCUCGUGGAAUGCGAAAAAGAAAUAGUCAGUUUGUUCCUGCCCCCACCCUUUUUGCUUUGGCUGCCAGUAAACUCAGAGUUAAAUUUAAUGCUCAGUUAUACUUCUUGGGAUUUUUUUUCUAUUAUGUAAUUCUGUGUAUUAAAAAUGAUGUACAAGGA